rnacentral:rRNA from 1 species
UGGGGAAUAUUGCACAAUGGGCGCAAGCCUGAUGCAGCCAUGCCGCGUGUGUGAAGAAGGCCUUCGGGUUGUAAAGCACUUUCAGCGGGGAGGAAGGCGUUAAGGUUAAUAACCUUGGCGAUUGACGUUACCCGCAGAAGAAGCACCGGCUAACUCCGUGCCAGCAGCCGCGGUAAUACGGAGGGUGCAAGCGUUAAUCGGAAUUACUGGGCGUAAAGCGCACGCAGGCGGUCUGUUAAGUCGGAUGUGAAAUCCCCGGGCUCAACCUGGGAACUGCAUUCGAAACUGGCAGGCUAGAGUCUUGUAGAGGGGGGUAGAAUUCCAGGUGUAGCGGUGAAAUGCGUAGAGAUCUGGAGGAAUACCGGUGGCGAAGGCGGCCCCCUGGACAAAGACUGACGCUCAGGUGCGAAAGCGUGGGGAGCAAACAGG